CCGUUUGCAGGUAAACAGAUGGACCCACGAAGUCCAGUUGAGCAAGGAAUUCAAAUUUCUCGGUUUGUUCUCUUCUGAUUCUUCUUUCCUUUCAGGAGAGGAGGUUGGUUUGAGAGCUGCCGAGAAAUGCAUUUUUCUUGCUCACGAUGGAGCUCUGACUGCUGUUCAACCUAAGUUGUGUAAGGCAGCCUUGGUAUGUGAGAUGCAUCUUAGGAUGCACUUCUACAUAUCAGGGUUCAUGACUAAGUUGGACCAAGCGGUUGAAUUACUUACUUAGGUGAGUUUUCAGGUUGUCAGUAUUUGUAGGCAAGUAGAGUGUGCUGGUCCUUAGAUUUUCGGCUCUUGCAGUUGAAGUUUAGGGAAGCUGUGCAUUCAUUAUACUUGUUUAUAAAUGCUAACGAUAAUCCAGAGUAAGUAGGUCGGUCAUCCAUCUGACCCGUCUUGAAACACGGACCAAGGAGCUCAACAUCUACGCGAGUCGCUCGGUCUUGAACAGGCCUGAGAGGCGAAAUAAAAAUAAUGGUAUGAUCCUUCUGAAUCUUUCGAGAUGAAGAAGGCGCAAUACCAACCUGCUUCAAGUGCUUAACGGCACUGAAGCGGCGUUCGAGCGUAGAUGUUGAUACCCGAAAGAUGGUGAACUAUACUUGGGCAGGACGAAGCCAGAGGAAACUCUGGUGGAGGUCUGCCGCGGUUCUGACGUGCAAAUCGAUCGUCAGACCUGAGUAUAGGGGCGAAAGACUAAUCGAACCAUCUAGUAGCUGGUUCCCUCCGAAGUUUCCCUCAGGAUAGCUGGAACUUAAUCCUCUGUAGCAUCCGGUAAAGCGAAUGAUUAGAGGUCUUGGGAUCGAAACGAUCUCAACCUAUUCUCAAACUUUAAAUGGGUGCAAGUGCUUGGCAUUCUUGAUUGAAGCCUCGUUGCGUAAGAGUCGUUCCAAGUGGGCCAUUUUUGGUAAGCAGAACUGGCGCUGUGGGAUGAACCAAACGUUGAGUUAAGGCACCCAAUGCCGACGCUCAUGAGACCCCAUGAAAGGUGUUGGUUGCUAUAGACAGC
rnacentral:rRNA from 1 species